CGAAAGCCUGACGGAGCAACGCCGCGUGAGGGAUGAAGGCCUCUGGGCUGUAAACCUUUUUUAUCAAGGAAGAAGAUCUGACGGUACUUGAUGAAUAAGCCACGGCUAAUUCCGUGCCAGCAGACGCGGUAAUACGGGAGUGGCAAGCGUUAUCCGGAAUUAUUGGGCGUAAAGCGUCCGCAGGCGGGCUUGUAAGUCUGUCGUCAAAGCGUGGAGCUUAACUCCAUUUAAGCGAUGGAAACUGCAAGGCUAGAGUGUGGUAGGGGCAGAGGGAAUUCCCGGUGUAGCGGUGAAAUGCGUAGAUAUCGGGAAGAACACCAGUGGCGAAGGCGCUCUGCUGGGCCAUAACUGACGCUCAUGGACGAAAGCCAGGGGAGCG
rnacentral:rRNA from 1 species